rnacentral:tRNA from 2 species
UGGGGUAUCGCCAAGCGGUAAGGCAACGGACUUUGACUCCGUUAUUCGUAGGUUCAAAUCCUGCUACCCCAGCCA